GGCCCCAUCGUCUAGCGGUUAGGACGUGGCCCUCUCAAGGCCAAAGCAGGGGUUCGAUUCCCCUUGGGGCUA
rnacentral:tRNA from 1 species